GACGAACGCUGGCGGCGUGCUUAACACAUGCAAGUCGAACGGAAAGGCCCUGCUUUUGUGGGGUGCUCGAGUGGCGAACGGGUGAGUAACACGUGAGUAACCUGCCCUUGACUUUGGGAUAACUUCAGGAAACUGGGGCUAAUACCGGAUAGGAGCUCCUGCUGCAUGGUGGGGGUUGGAAAGUUUCGGCGGUUGGGGAUGGACUCGCGGCUUAUCAGCUUGUUGGUGGGGUAGUGGCUUACCAAGGCUUUGACGGGUAGCCGGCCUGAGAGGGUGACCGGCCACAUUGGGACUGAGAUACGGCCCAGACUCCUACGGGAGGCAGCAGCGGGGAAUAUUGCACAAUGGGCGGAAGCCUGAUGCAGCAACGCCGCGUGCGGGAUGACGGCCUUCGGGUUGCAAACCGCUUUCGCCUGUGACGAAGCGUGAGUGACGGUAAUGGGUAAAGAAGCACCGGCUAACUACGUG
rnacentral:rRNA from 1 species